rnacentral:rRNA from 1 species
AACGCGAAGAACCUUACCUGGGCUCGAAAUGUUAUGGACCGCAGUGGAAACAUUGCUUUCCCGCAAGGGACCGUAAUAUAGGUGCUGCAUGGCUGUCGUCAGCUCGUGUCGUGAGAUGUUGGGUUAAGUCCCGCAACGAGCGCAACCCUUAUCGUUAGUUGCCAUCAGGUCAAGCUGGGCACUCUAGCGAAACCGCCCCGGAUAACGGGGAGGAAGGUGGGGAUGACGUCAAGUCCUCAUGGCCUUUAUGUCCAGGGCUACACACGUGCUACAAUGGUCGGUACAAACCGUCGCAAACCUGCGAAGGGGAGCUAAUCGGAAAAAGCCGGCCUCAGUUCGGAUUGGAGUCUGCAACUCGACUCCAUGAAGCUGGAAUCGCUAGUAAUCGCGGAUCAGCACGCCGCGGUGAAUACGUUCCCGGGCCUUGUACACACCGGAGUA